rnacentral:tRNA from 1 species
GUUUAAGUAGCUUAGUUAGAGCAUAAUAUUGAAGAUAUUAAGGCGGUUAUAGAAUCUUUAAACA